GAGUAAUGCCUGGGAAUAUGCCUUGAUGUGGGGGAUAACCAUUGGAAACGAUGGCUAAUACCGCAUAAUGCCUACGGGCCAAAGAGGGGGAUCUUCGGACCUCUCGCGUCAAGAUUAGCCCAGGUGGGAUUAGCUAGUUGGUGAGGUAAUGGCUCACCAAGGCGACGAUCCCUAGCUGGUCUGAGAGGAUGAUCAGCCACACUGGAACUGAGACACGGUCCAGACUCCUACGGGAGGCAGCAGUGGGGAAUAUUGCACAAUGGGCGCAAGCCUGAUGCAGCCAUGCCGCGUGUGUGAAGAAGGCCUUCGGGUUGUAAAGCACUUUCAGUCGUGAGGAAGGUAGUUGCGUUAAUAGCGUAAUUAUUUGACGUUAGCGACAGAAGAAGCACCGGCUAACUCCGUGCCAGCAGCCGCGGUAAUACGGAGGGUGCGAGCGUUAAUCGGAAUUACUGGGCGUAAAGCGCAUGCAGGUGGUUUGUUAAGUCAGAUGUGAAAGCCCGGGGCUCAACCUCGGAAUUGCAUUUGAAACUGGCAGACUAGAGUACUGUAGAGGGGGGUAGAAUUUCAGGUGUAGCGGUGAAAUGCGUAGAGAUCUGAAGGAAUACCGGUGGCGAAGGCGGCCCCCUGGACAGAUACUGACACUCAGAUGCGAAAGCGUGGGGAGCAAACAGGAUUAGAUACCCUGGUAGUCCACGCCGUAAACGAUGUCUACUUGGAGGUUGUGGCCUUGAGCCGUGGCUUUCGGAGCUAACGCGUUAAGUAGACCGCCUGGGGAGUACGGUCGCAAGAUUAAAACUCAAAUGAAUUGACGGGGGCCCGCACAAGCGGUGGAGCAUGUGGUUUAAUUCGAUGCAACGCGAAGAACCUUACCUACUCUUGACAUCCAGAGAAGCCAGCGGAGACGCAGGUGUGCCUUCGGGAACUCUGAGACAGGUGCUGCAUGGCUGUCGUCAGCUCGUGUUGUGAAAUGUUGGGUUAAGUCCCGCAACGAGCGCAACCCUUAUCCUUGUUUGCCAGCGAGUAAUGUCGGGAACUCCAGGGAGACUGCCGGUGAUAAACCGGAGGAAGGUGGGGACGACGUCAAGUCAUCAUGGCCCUUACGAGUAGGGCUACACACGUGCUACAAUGGCGCAUACAGAGGGCUGCCAACCAGCGAUGGUGAGCGAAUCCCAAAAAGUGCGUCGUAGUCCGGAUUGGAGUCUGCAACUCGACUCCAUGAAGUCGGAAUCGCUAGUAAUCGUGGAUCAGAAUGCCACGGUGAAUACGUUCCCGGGCCUUGUACACACCGCCCGUCACACCAUGGGAGUGGGCUGCAAAAGAAGUGGGUAGUUUAACC
rnacentral:rRNA from 1 species